AAAUGAAUUGACGGGGGCCCGCACAAGCGGUGGAGCAUGUGGUUUAAUUCGAUGCAACGCGAAGAACCUUACCUGGAUUUGAAAGUCUCGGACAACCCUAGAGAUAGGGCUUUCCCUUCGGGGACCGGGAACUAGGUGCUGCAUGGCUGUCGUCAGCUCGUAUCGUGAGAUGUCGGGUUAAGUCCCUUAACGAGCGCAACCCUUAUCCUUAGUUGCCAUCAUUUAGUUGGGCACUCCAAGGAGACUGCCCGUGUUAAGCGGGAGGAAGGUGGGGAUGACGUCAAGUCCUCAUGGCCUUUAUGUCCAGGGCUACACACGUGCUACAAUGGCCGGUACAGAGGGUUGCCAACCCGCAAGGGGGAGCUAAUCUCAGAAAGCCGGUCUCAGUUCGGAUUGAAGUCUGCAACUCGACUUCAUGAAGCUGGAAUCGCUAGUAAUCGCUAAUCAGCAGGUAGCGGUGAAUACGUUCCCGGGCCUUGUACACACCGCCCGU
rnacentral:rRNA from 1 species